UACGUAGGGUGCAAGCGUUGUCCGGAAUUAUUGGGCGUAAAGAGCUCGUAGGCGGUCUGUCGCGUCGGCUGUGAAAACUCGGGGCUCAACCCCGAGCCUGCAGUCGAUACGGGCAGACUUAGAGUGCGGUAGGGGAGACUGGAAUUCCUGGUGUAGCGGUGAAAUGCGCAGAUAUCAGGAGGAACACCGGCGGCGAAGGCGGGUCUCUGGGCCGUAAACUGACGCUGAGGAGCGAAAGCGUGGGGAGCGAACAGG
rnacentral:rRNA from 1 species